rnacentral:rRNA from 1 species
CAGUAGCCGCGGGAAUACGGAGGGGGCUAGCGUUGUUCGGAAUUACUGGGCGUAAAGCGCACGUAGGCGGCUUGGUAAGUUAGAGGUGAAAGCCUGGAGCUCAACUCCAGAAUUGCCUUUAAGACUGCCGAGCUAGCAGGUGAGAGAGGUAAGUGGAAUUCCGAGUGUAGAGGUGAAAUUCGUAGAUAUUCGGAAGAACACCAGUGGCGAAGGCGGCUUACUGGCUCAUACUGGACGCUGAGGUGCGAAAGCGUGGGGAGCAAACAGGAUUAGAUACCCGCGUAGUCCCUGUCUCUUAUAA